AAAACAUAUAAACAUAGACUUUGAUCGCAGAUAACACCCAAAAGGCUCAUCAUGGCUGCCUAUAGCAUAUGUAAAGAGUGAAUUAAUCAGUUUUUAACAUAGCCUUGAAUGGUUUUGAAUUCCCUGACAGUCUGUACAUUCACCACCUCCAAUGGAUGUUUGUGCUAUGCAUUAACCACCAUUUUUGUAAUGACAAAAUUUGCCUCUAAAUUGUUAACGUC